GGCAGCUUGCCCCGUUAGGGGGUGUUGUCUUGUUCGAAAAAGUCAUAACGUUAGUCGUCGCACCACUUUUUGUGGGCUUAGCCAUUGAGCUAGUUUCUCAUUGGUUAGAUGAGAAAGACGACGAUUGAAAGCAAGUUGCUUUCUAACCCACACGCUUGCCUCCACCACAAGUGAAAA
rnacentral:ncRNA from 1 species